rnacentral:rRNA from 1 species
GACGAACGCUGGCGGCGUGCCUAAUACAUGCAAGUCGAGCGGAUUGAUGGGAGCUUGCUCCCUGGUAUCAGCGGCGGACGGGUGAGUAACACGUGGGCAACCUGCCUAUAAGACUGGGAUAACUUCGGGAAACCGGAGCUAAUACCGGAUAAUCCCUUUCCUCUCAUGAGGAAAGGCUGAAAGAUGGUUUACGCUAUCACUUAUAGAUGGGCCCGCGGCGCAUUAGCUAGUUGGUGAGGUAACGGCUCACCAAGGCAACGAUGCGUAGCCGACCUGAGAGGGUGAUCGGCCACACUGGGACUGAGACACGGCCCAGACUCCUACGGGAGGCAGCAGUAGGGAAUCUUCCGCAAUGGACGAAAGUCUGACGGAGCAACGCCGCGUGAGUGAUGAAGGUUUUCGGAUCGUAAAACUCUGUUGUUAGGGAAGAACAAGUACGAGAGUAACUGCUCGUACCUUGACGGUACCUAACCAGAAAGCCACGGCUAACUACGUGCCAGCCGCCGCAGUA